rnacentral:rRNA from 1 species
CACGCAGGCGGUUCUGCAAGUCUGAUGUGAAAUCUCCGGGCUUAACUCGGAAUGCGCGUUGGAAACUGCAAGACUAGAGUAUUAGAGGGGGAGUCGGAAUUCCUAGUGUAGGGGUGAAAUCUGUUGAUAUUAGGAAGAACACCGGUGGCGAAGGCGGACUCCUGGCUGAAUACUGACGCUGAGGUGCGGAAGCAUAGGGAGCAAACAGGAUUAGAUACCCUGGUAGUCUAUGCUGUAAACGAUGUGCACUUGGUGUUGGGCCGAUUAGGUUCAGUGCCGAAGCUAACGCGAUAAGUGCACCGCCUGGGGAGUAUGCCCGCAAGGGUGAA